rnacentral:rRNA from 1 species
ACGGGAGGCAGCAGUGGGGAAUUUUGGACAAUGGGCGCAAGCCUGAUCCAGCCAUGCCGCGUGAGUGAAGAAGGCCUUCGGGUUGUAAAGCUCUUUCGGUCGGGAAGAAAUAGUUAUGGCUAAUAUCCAUAAUGAAUGACGGUACCGACAUAAGAAGCACCGGCUAACUACGUGCCAGCAGCCGCGGUAAUACGUAGGGUGCAAGCGUUAAUCGGAAUUAUUGGGCGUAAAGGGUGCGCAGGCGGAUGUAUAAGUCAGAUGUGAAAUCCCUGGGCUUAACCUAGGAAUUGCGUUUGAAACUAUAUGACUAGAGUGUGAUAGAGGGGAGUGGAAUUCCAUGUGUAGCAGUGAAAUGCGUAGAGAUGUGGAAGAACACCGAUGGCGAAGGCAGCUCCCUGGAUUAACACUGACGCUCAUGCACGAAAGCGUGGGGAGCAAACAGGAUUAGAUACCCUGGUA